rnacentral:rRNA from 1 species
CGCGGGUUUCGGAAGUCAUGGGUGAAAGUCCUCGGCUCAACUGAGGGAUUGCCUGUGAAACCACGGGACUGGAGUGCUGGAGAGGGAAGUGGAAUUCCCAGUGUAGCGGUGAAAUGCGUAGAUAUUGGGAGGAACACCUGUGGCGAAGGCGGCUUCCUGGACAGACACUGACGCUGAGGCGCGAAAGCCAGGGGAGCGAACGGGAUUAGAUACCCCGGUAGUCCUGGCUGUAAACGAUGAACACUUGGUGUGGGGGGUGAUGAAAGUCCCUCUGUGCCGGAGAGAACUCAUUAAGUGUUCCGCCUGGGGAGUACGGCCGCAAGGCUGAAACUCAAAGGAAUUGACGGGGGCCCGCACAAGCGGUGGAGGCAUUGUGGUUUAAUUUCGACGCCAACGCAAAGAAACCUUUACCGGGGUUUUGGACUGUGUACCUGUGAACGGACUCUAGAGAUGGAGAGGGUCUCUUUUCGGGACACAGUGUGCGAGGGGUGCUUGCAUGGUGUGUCGUCAGUCUCGUGGUCGUUGAGAUGUGUGGGGGUUAGGUCCCGCCAACGGAGCCGCAACCCUUGGUCUUGUAGUUGCCAUCAGGUGAAGCUGGGCACCCUACGGAAACUUUCGGCAAAGAAGCCGGGAGAAAGGUGGGGAUGACGUCAAGUCCUCAUGGCCUUAUAUGUCCCGGGCUACACACGUGCUACAAUGGGCGGUACAGAGGGCAGCGACCCUGUGAAGGCAAGCGAAUCCCAGAAAACCGCUCUCAGUUCGGAUUGCAGUCUGCAACUCGACUGCAUGAA